rnacentral:lncRNA from 1 species
GAAAUUUGGACAGAGAUCGAAUGCUUAAGAUCUCCAACAUGUAUACUGUGAUCACCCAUUGGAAUUCUUCGAAUUCCAAACUUGUCCACAACACUUAGAUGUUUGCACACGUCAACAUGAAUUCUGACCCUUUGUUGAGCUCCCGCGACCACAUGAACUUUUUCAAAUCCAAUCAAUUGCUUAUUCGAAUCUGAAUUUGCAGCACCAGGAGGCGACGAGUAUGCAAGAAGAGUGUGUGGACCAUCCAUAGUCCCUGUGUUCUUAACAUCAACAUGUACACCCACACUAAGGCCUUCACAGUUCACGUGUAUAACUCUGAGAUUGUCAUUCAAAAUUGUUGAAUUUUUGAACGAGUGAUUGUUGGCCAAUGACACCGCAACAGAACUUGGACCGUGGGCUAAAGUGUGGGCAAAGGUUGUGUAACUUAAACCAUGACCAAAUGGAAAAAUAACUGGUCCUUUAUAGAAGCGAUAAGUUCGACCAGGGUAGCCUCUUGCUGGAUUCGCCCUCAUGUCCAUGUUUGUCAUUGGCACCUUCGCUAAGUAACUUUGUGGGUACCAUGUCAUUGGCAGCUUCCCCCCUGGAUUUGUCAUGCCGAACAAGACGUCAGCAAUUGCAGUGCCACCUUCUUGGCCAGGGUAUCCAGCCCAUAUAAUAGCAGUUAUCUUGGGAUCUGCCUUAGCAAAACCAACAUCGAUAGGCCCGCCAGACAUGAGAACCAAUAUGGUCGGGCCUCUAGAGGCCCUGGCAACUCUAGAUAUCAGUUCUUGUUGAUGUCCAGGUAGUAGAAUAUUUGAUCGGUCUCUAGCUUCAGCUUCAAUGGAUUGAUCAAGCCCCAUUACUAACACAGUUGCAUCUGCCUGCCUGGCAGCUGUCUCCG